rnacentral:rRNA from 1 species
AGUGAACGCUGGCGGUAGGCCUAACACAUGCAAGUCGAACGGCAGCACAGUAAGAGCUUGCUCUUACGGUUGGCGAGUGGCGGACGGGUGAGGAAUACAUCGGAAUCUACUUUUUCGUGGGUGAUAACGUAGGGAAACUUACGCUAAUACCUCAUACGACCUACGGGUGAAAGCAGGGGAUCUUCGUACCUUUCGCGAUUGAAUGAGCCGAUGUCGGAUUAGCUAGUUGGCGGGGUAAAGGCCCACCAAGGCGACGAUCCGUAGCUGGUCUGAUAGGAUGAUCAGCCACACUGGAACUGAGACACGGUCCAGACUCCUACGGGAGGCAGCAGUGGGGAAUAUUGGACAAUGGGCGCAAGCCUGAUCCAGCCAUACCGCGUGGGUGAAGAAGGCCUUCGGGUUGUAAAGCCCUUUUGUUGGGAAAGAAAAGCAGCAGGUUAAUACCCCGCUGUUCUGACGGUACCCAAAGAAUAAGCACCGGCUAACUUCGUG